rnacentral:misc_RNA from 13 species
AGUCGGCUUUUCGCUUUCGUUAGAUAAAAAGUAAGUGCGUGGUGUCGUUGCAAUUCGCGGAUUAUAUAAGGGAUUUGAGCCGCGACUGCAUUGAUUUUCCAUUGGCCAUGGCCCGCAUCGUUGAGAGCAAUUUUGUGCCACUCGCCGUGGGUGUGGUCGCCGUACUCGCCGGCGCCCUGAUCGUCCACUAUCUGCUGAAUAAGAAGUCCACGAAACCACGCCGGGAACCCAAUCGCACCGCUCGACUGCGCACGCUUGUGGAUCCCAACGACAAGUACCUGCUGCCUCUCAUCGAAAAGGAGAAUCUGAGCCAUGACACUAGGCGAUUCCGGUUUGGAUUGCCCUCCAAGCAGCAUGUCCUUGGCCUGCCCGUUGGCCAGCACAUUCAUCUGAUCGCUACCAUUGACAAUGAGCUGGUAAUUCGGCCAUACACUCCGAUAUCGUCCGAUGAGGAUGUGGGCUAUGUGGACCUGGUCGUCAAGGUGUACUUCAAGGACACGCAUCCCAAGUUCCCCGCCGGCGGCAAAAUGACGCAACACCUGGAGCAGCUCGAGUUGGGGGACAAGAUCUCGUUCCGUGGUCCCUCGGGUAGACUGCAAUAUCUCGGCAAUGGCACCUUCUCCAUCAAAAAGUUGCGCAAGGAUCCGCCCAAGCACGUGACCGCCAAGCGGGUCAACAUGAUUGCCGGCGGCACUGGCAUUACUCCAAUGCUCCAAUUGGCUAGGGAAGUGCUCAAGCGCAGCGAUAAGGAUAAGACUGAGCUGGCGUUGCUGUUCGCCAACCAGAGCGAAAAGGACAUUCUGCUGCGUGCAGAGUUGGACGAAUUGGCCCAGAAGCAUCCUGACCAGUUCAAGGUCUGGUACACAGUUGACAAGGCAAACGAAGCUAUCAAACGCAUGCCGCGAAUGGGAAACGCGCGCUUUGUAGCCUGGUCCUACACCACUGGCCACGUGAACGAUGACAUGAUGCAGCAGCAUCUGUAUCCGCCGGGCGUGGACACGCUGUGCCUACUGUGUGGUCCUCCACCCAUGGUGAACUAUACAUGCAUUCCGGGCCUGGAGCGACUUGGUCACAGGGCCGAGCAGCGGUUCAGCUAUUAGGAGUUGAUACUAUGCCUGUGUUUUGAUUUCAUUUAACAGUGCUGAGCCAGUGGGAAAGAUUGUGUGCAUCAGGUUGGCAGUAUAGCGUUGGCUUCAUCAAUGAGGAAAUGAUCGCCGCCCACCUGCUUCCGGCCAAGGACGAUACCAUUGUGUUGCUUUGCGGCCCACCACCCAUGAUUAACUUUGCCUGCAAUCCGGCGCUGGACAAGCUUGGCUACCAUCCGGACACCCGUUUUGCCUACUAAAAUGUUGGACAUUAUGGGACGAAAUUGCAUUUUCGUUUUGUUAUAUUCCUUUUUUAUCUGUUGUCUCUAACCAGCUCAUCAAAAUCCAAGAGUUCGCCCAGAUUUCGGCAAUGUGAUUGAAAACCAAGCGAAUAAAAACAUUAAUUAGUUUAAAGUUUAAA